CCACCCUAAUUAUCUGGUAGUCUGCAUUAGAUAGAAAUUAUGUCUAAAGUAUCUGUGCAAUCAACAUAUAUAUUUAGGAAACCUUAACAAUCUACUUAGCUGCAUUCAUAUUCUUUUUUAUCAGAUCCGAAACUAUCUGAUAUUUGUUGUUUUAUGAUCUGUGAUUUGUCUUGUUUUUCUAUCCCUGAUUUAUGAUAGUAAGUCCUUAGAUGAGCAAGGAUUCCAGUAGGCUGGUAGUGUGUUGUUGAUUGGGGUUGGUCUGGGUAAUUGUGUCGAUGCCCAAGUCGAAUUUGUUAGUUGAUUGCCUGAUUUGUUUGGUGCCCCCUUUCUGAUUUGAUUGGGACCUCCCCUUCCACCUCCUUGGAUUAGUUGCUGCUAGUUGGAUGGGUGAUGUUUUCUGGGUAUUUGGAUUUGGAUCCCUUUAAUUUGUUUCCGAUGGCUAGUCAGAUUUACUCCUUCACACCUCCGGUUAAUGAACUUUUUUCAUCUGCAAAAUUCAUAUGCCAAUGACAGUGAGAGUGAUGGUUUUCAUGAAUCGAUCUUAUGGAAGGAGUUAUCUUUUUUUUCCUCCCAUGAUGUUAUCUUGAAAAUUCUAAACUCUCCCUCAUGCCAAAUUAGUUGCCUAGGUUAAGUACAUGAAAAAAUUACUGUUAUGACAGUAGGUAUUCAGGUGUCAUUUCUAUAUCCGUCACAUGUAAUUUCUAUGUAUUUGAGACUUAUAUUCUUUUUUGUCAAUUCUCCUAUUGUAUCCAUGUCAUAGGAGUAUGAUUAAAAGCUGACUGGCUGCUUAUUUUUUAUACGAGUAUGAUUAAAAGUUGAUUGGCUGCUCAUUUUUAAGUUCCACUACAUUUACUCAUUGACUGCGCGCACGCUUAACAUUGAUUCAACGACUGCAAUGAAUUUUCCAUUUGUAUUUGUGGGGUUCCAAUAGCUCCCCCAAAUCUGUAGUUUUGGAAACCUACAAAGUAUUUGAAUAAGUCUGAGCUUUGUGUAUUUGAGACUUAUAUUCUUUUUUGUCAAUUCUCCUAUUGUAUCCAUGUCAUAGGAGUAUGAUUAAAAGCUGACUGGCUGCUUAUUUUUUAUAGGAGUAUGAUUAAAAGCUGAUUGGCUGCUCAUUUUUAAGUUCCACUACAUUUACUCAUUGACUCCGCGCACGCUUAACAUUGAUUCAACAACUGCAAUGAAUUUUCCAUUUGUAUGUGUGGGGUUCCAAUAGCUCCCCCAAAUCUGUAGUUUUGGAAACCUACAAAGUAUUUGAAUAAGUCUGAGCUUUGUGAGCUUUUUUUUAAUUUCUGUCAGCUACAUCUGUGCGGUUCAAAUACCUCCCCCAUCAUCUAUCAAUUUGGAAACCAUAGAAAUAUUUUGAAGAAAUCUGCCCUUUUCUGAAUUUUUGAAAUGGUGACAUUUGCAUAUGAGGGGUUUAGCUAGCUACCCCAAUUUCUGUACCUUUUGAAACCAUAGAACUAUUUUGAAUUAGUGUGCAUCUGAUAAUUUGUUUAAAGUAUUUUACAUAUGUAGAAUCGUUUGUUAUUUUGAAUAUCUGCCAUUUGUCUUAAUGCUGUUGUGCUCUAGCUCCAUUUAUUGACCAUUAUGAAUCAAUACCUUUUGGAACCAGUCCAUAUAUUAUAUUAUUUUUAUUUGGGAAAAGCUAACCAUUAUUUGAGCAUUGUGACACUCCAUCACUCGAUUUUGGAGCUGGCCGAUCUGCCUAGGAGUUGUUUCUGACCCUUCAAUGGUUAGGUGGGCUGCCCGGUGGGAUUCUUUUUUCUUCUUCUUCUUUACUGUUUCUAGGACCCAGCAAAUGUCCUGCUCUUUUCGGAUGGGAAGAGCUGCAUCUUGAAGUUGCAAGUCAUUUCGUACUCCUCUCUUUGGUUUCAGUCAGGUGUGGCAAUUCCCUGGCUUCACAUUUUAUUGGCUGUGUAUAGUGCCCCUUACUUGAAUUUACUCUGAUAAUCUCACUGUCAAUUUAUUGUAUUGAAGCUGUAAUCAAACAAAUACUAACAAUAUUUUGCUUCUACAUUUAAACAACUAGUAUGUAAAACAUAGCUAGCAGUUUGUAAUUAAACAAAAAUGUCAGCUUCUACUUAUGGUCUAUGCAAUCAAAGAAC
rnacentral:lncRNA from 1 species